rnacentral:rRNA from 1 species
CUCCUCACUCUGCUCCCCAAGAGGCCUACCGCCGCCUCUCUCUCGGACUACCGGCCCAUUAGUCUCAUCCAUCUGAUCUCCAAGCUUUUCGCUAAAGUUUUCGCCUUGCGUCUCGCUCCAAGGCUUAGCUCGAUGAUCUCCACGAACCAAAGCGCGUUCACCGCCGGACGGAGCAUCCACGACAACUUUCUUCUUGUUUAA